rnacentral:rRNA from 1 species
AUUGAACGCUGGCGGCAGGCCUAACACAUGCAAGUCGAACGAGUGGCGGACGGGUGAGUAAUGUCUGGGAAACUGCCUGAUGUAGGGGUCUAACUACUGGAAACGGUAGCUAAUACCGCAUACCAUCAGAUGUGCCCCGGUGGGAUUAGCUUGUUGGUGGGGUAACGGAUCACCAAGGCGACGAUCCCUACCUGGUCUGAGAGGAUGACCAGCCACACUGGAACUGAGACACGGGCCAGACUCCUACGGGAGGCAGCAGUGGGGAAUAUUGUACAAGGGGCGCAAGCCUGAUGCAGCCAUGCCGCGUGUAUGAAGAAGGCCUUCGGGUUGUAAAGUACUUUCAGCGGGGAGGCGUUACCCGCAGAAGAAGCACCGGCUAACUCCGUGCCAGCAGCCGCGGUAAUUC